UACAGAGGGGGCAAGCGUUAUUCGGAAUUAUUGGGCGUAAAGGGCGCGUAGGCGGCGAUUCAAGUGACGGGUGAAAUCCCUCGGCUUAACCGAGGAACUGCCUGUCAGACUGGGUUGCUUGAGACCGGGAGAGGCGAGUGGAAUUCCCAGUGUAGCGGUGAAAUGCGUAGAUAUACGGAGGAACACCUGCGGCGAAGGCGGGUAGCUGGGCCAACACUGACGCUGAGACGCGAAAGCUAGGGGAGCAAACGGG
rnacentral:rRNA from 1 species